rnacentral:rRNA from 1 species
CGGAUCCUCCGGGGCGCCGCAGUCGAGAAUCCUUCACAAUGGGGGAAACCCUUCUGGUGCGACGCCGCGUGGGGGAAUGAAGGUCUUCGGAUUGUAAACCCCUGUCAUGUGGGAGCAAAUUAAAAAGAUAGUACCACAAGAGGAAGAGACGGCUAACUCUGUGCCAGCAGCCGCGGUAAUACAGAGGUCUCAAGCGUUGUUCGGAAUCACUGGGCGUAAAGCGUGCGUAGGCUGUUUCGUAAGUCGUGUGUGAAAGGCGCGGGCUCAACCCGCGGACGGCACAUGAUACUGCGAGACUAGAGUAA